GACGAACGCUGGCGGCGUGCUUAACACAUGCAAGUCGAACGGAAAGGCCCUGCUUUUGUGGGGUGCUCGAGUGGCGAACGGGUGAGUAACACGUGAGUAACCUGCCCUUGACUUUGGGAUAACUUCAGGAAACUGGGGCUAAUACCGGAUAGGAGCUCCUGCUGCAUGGUGGGGGUUGGAAAGUUUCGGCGGUUGGGGAUGGACUUGCGGCUUAUCAGCUUGUUGGUGGGGUAGUGGCUUACCAAGGCUUUGACGGGUAGCCGGUCUGAGAGGGUGACCGGCGAGAGGGGGGCUGGGAAACGGCCCCGACGACGACGGGAGGCAGAAGUGGGGAAUAGUCCGCAAUGGGCGAAAGCCGGAGGGAGCCACGCGGCGUGGGUGAUGAAGGCCGUGGGGUGGGAAAGCUGUGUUAAGCGGGACGAAAGGCCGUGUUGGGAAUAGGGACAAGGAUGGAGGGAACCGGAAAAGAAAGCAACGGCCAAGUACGU
rnacentral:rRNA from 1 species